CAAAUACUCCCUUCGCCCGGAAUUACUUGUCCCACAAAUUGAUAAAAGCGAAUACAUCUAGAAUUAAAAUACAUCUAGACACAUCCAUUUCUAUGACAAGUAUUUUCGGACGGAGGGAGUAGCAU
rfam:Hordeum vulgare subsp. vulgare, WGS project CAJW01000000 data, contig: morex_contig_2550137